rnacentral:rRNA from 1 species
UGNUUCUGCUGACNACCGGNGCACGGGUGCGUAACGCGUAUGCNACCUACCUCNUACAGGAGAAUANCCCUUGGAAACGAGGAUUANUACUCCAUGGUAUCAUUCUUUCGCAUGUUAGAAUGAUUAAAGAAUUUCGGUAUGANAUGGGCAUGCGUCCCAUUAGCUAGUUGGUGAGGUAACGGCUCACCAAGGCGACNAUGGGUAGGGGGCCUGAGAGGGUGGUCCCCCACACUGGUACUGAGACACGGACCAGACUCCUACGGGAGGCAGCAGUGAGGAACAUUGGUCAAUGGAGGCAACUCUGAACCAGCCAUGCCGCGUGAAGGAUGACGGCCCUAUGGGUUGUAAACUUCUUUUAUAUGGGAAGAAACUUAUCUACGUGUAGAUAACUGACGGUACCAUACGAAUAAGGAUCGGCUAACUCCGUGCCAGCAGCCGCGGUAAUACGGAGGAUCCAAGCGUUAUCCGGAUUCAUUGGGUUUAAAGGGUCCGUAGGCGGAUUUUUAAGUCAGUGGUGAAAGCCGACAGCUCAACUGUCGAACUGCCAUUGAUACUGGAAAUCUUGAGUACAAAUGAAGUAGGCGGAAUGAGUCAUGUAGCGGUGAAAUGCAUAGAUAUGACUCAGAACACCGAUUGCGAAGGCAGCUUACUAACNUGUAACUGACGCUGAGGGACGAAAGCGUGGGGAGCGAACAGGAUUAGAUACCCUGGUAGUCCACGCCGUAAACGAUCAUCACUCGCUGUUGGCGAUAUACUGUCAGCGGCCAAGCGAAAGUAUUAAGUGAUGCACCUGGGGAGUACGCCGGCAACGGUG